rnacentral:misc_RNA from 1 species
AACUUUCAGCAAUGGAUCUCUUGGCUCUCGCAUCGAUGAAGAACGCAGCGAAAUGCGAUAAGUAAUGUGAAUUGCAGAAUUCAGUGAAUCCUCGAAUCUUUGAACGCAACUUGCGCCCCUUGGCUAUUCCGAGGGGCAUGCCUGUUUGAGUAUCAUGAACACCUCAACUCUCAUGGUUUGCCAUGAUGAGCUUGGACUUUGGGGGGUUUUGCUGGCGUAUGGUCGGCUCCUCUGAAACGGAUCAGCUUGCAAGUGUUUGGUGGCGUCGCAGGUGUGAUAACUAUCUAUGCUUGUGAUCGCCCGCCAAGGAACCUUCAGAGAAUAAAGAUCGCUGGAGCUUAUAAAUAUCCCGCCUCACCGAACACAGCUCUUUGACCGUUCGAUCUCAAAUCAGGGCGAACAACAAGAGGAACUUAAGCAGAUCAAUUAGCGGAGGCU